rnacentral:lncRNA from 1 species
AAGAAAAAUUUGUUCAGCAUAUGAGUGGUAGAUACGACCAAAGCUACAUCUCUCAGCAAGUCAGUGCUCCAGCUUAAGCAACAAGAAAAAAAAAAGCUCUAUAUAGAACUGUGACAAACAUAGUUACUGCAUGGAACUAAGAAAAUGAUGUUUGUAGCGUGUAGAAGCUAGAAAAGAAAGAUGAAAUCAAUUUAAACUUUUUCAAAACCAAUAGCUAGACUGAGACUGUUCAGUCCUGAAUAUAUAUGUGUACAUAUGUGUAUGUACACAUAUAUACAAACAUUGGGUUCUCAUUUUGUUUUGGAAAGGUGAAGCUGGUCACCCCCAGAGUUAAUGGGAAAAUAUGUGGGAUUAGAAAUUGUGCCCCAGUAUUCUGGGACUCCUGCCCAAGCCACAGUGAUGGCUUUUCCCCUCUUAUGAUUGCUGCUGUACUGAAAUUUACCAUCAGUCAGCCAUAGAACAGAGCAACUCCCAAGGUUCCAGCUACUACAGUGACUCAUUUGGUGUGUCAUCAUUCCCUGGAGAAUGGAGGUACCACAUCAAAUCAUGGCCCAUCCUAAAGUCUAGUGCCACUGAAAUUUACAGCCACAGAACUGAAUUAAUCAAGAGGAACAACAACAACAAGAGUUCUCUUCCAAAAUGAUAGCUUUUUUGUAGCUCUGAAAUGAGAGGAACCCAAUCCAGAAGAAUCCACAGAAGGAGGAAAAGCCAGCAGAAAGGCAGCAGAUUAGACACAAAAUUGUAAUUUUAAAGGACUGCUAAUGAUCAGCAAAUAGCCAAAGGCAGAGGAGUCAAUCCAAGAUCUCUUCGGUUCUUUCCUAAUCAGAUUUACACAAUGCUGGGCAUGGAUAAUUUAGGGAGACCUGAAACUCAGAGCUCAAAUCUAUCGCCUUCCAGAUGCUGAGAAGAGAAACAUCUGAUGUCAGCUUCCUCUCUGUUCCUAACAUCUUCAGUUCCCCAAACAGACUUUGUUAACAGUUAUCAUACAGCUAUGAUUUUAAUGCCGUGAGAUAUUAUAUUAAAAUGUAAUUUUAUGCUUUAACUUUGCUCUGCCCAGUUUAAGAGUACCAAGUAUGUAUCAGGCACUCUGUACUGUGUUGGAUGUUAGAUGUUUCUCCCAUAAAUUUGGAUAUGACCCCUUCCUUUGAGAUACUUUUAGUUUAGUCUACCAGUAACCCAGUCACAAUGGCAACUUUAUAAGCAGCAAUUAAACCAACUAAUUUCUUUCUGAAAACUCAAGAAUCUUGCUUUGUGGUAAUGUAUCUGUCAAAAACAUUUGAUUGAGUAGAAAUAGACCAUGACUGUGGAAAAAUGCAGUGAAAAACGUAUGUACAAAUAAAUAUGUUCUCAUGAUUCAUUAAUAUGAUCAUAUAAAUGUAGACCCUAAUCAUAUUAUCUUUGAAACUUUUGUGGUAAAAGGGUUGCUAAGUCAACUUAACAGUAAAAUCAGUUGCAGAGUGAUCAUUGGUAAACUUAAGAAAAACUUCCAAUAAUGGCAUUCCUUUGUGAAGUAACUAUUUUUAUGACAAUUGUUCAUAUCAAAUUGACUAAAAUAGAUUUGGAUCCAUACUGGAAAUACCCUUCAUUUAGAAAAUGUCUAAAAUGAUAAAUGUGUAAUAGCUCUGAAAUAAUCUACAUUUCAAAUUUUUCAUUUUUUAAAAUAAAUAAUCUCUUUUAAUUCCCAAAUAGCGAAUUCUUCCACACUGCCCUGUUUUAUUAAACAAUAGUGGUCAAAAAUUAUUAUGCAUAAUUAAAUAAUUCCAAAAAAACUUGCUCUAAAAAAUGUACUGCUCACCAACUGUAUUACAGAUUUAAGAAUGAUGAGCAUGUUAAGGUUUCUUGGAGUUGCUCUCAUUUUGUGGAACGGUAAUGUAGUAUUCUUUGUAUUACAAAAAAAUAAAUAAAAAAUCUCUUGAGAGGAGGGUAGCUGGUGAUAAAUGCUCUGA